rnacentral:rRNA from 1 species
GACGAACGCUGGCGGCGUGCUUAACACAUGCAAGUCGAACGGAAAGGCCCUGCUUUUGUGGGGUGCUCGAGUGGCGAACGGGUGAGUAACACGUGAGUAACCUGCCCUUUACUUUGGGAUAACUUCAGGAAACUGGGGCUAAUACCGGAUAGGAGCUCCUGCUGCAUGGGGGGGGUAGGAAAUGUUGGGCGGUUGGGGGUGGAUUCGCGGCUUUUCAGUUUGUUGGUGGGGUCGUGGCUUACGAAGGCUUUGACAGGUGGCCGGCUGGGAGGGGUGAACGGCCAAGAUGGGAAUGGGAUGCGGCAGAGAGUACUACGGGAGACAGCAGUGGAGAAUAUUGCAGACUGGGCGGAGGCGUGAAGCAGCACCGCCGGGUGGGGGAUGACGUCUUUCGGGUUGAAAACCGCUGGCGCCUGAGACGAAGGGUGUGAGGGGGUAGGAGGAAAAGAAGCACGGGAAAACCACG